UUAAGUUCAGCGGGUAGUCCUACCUGAUUUGAGGUCAGAGUCAAAAAUUGCCCGAGGGCGAUUGUAAGCAGUCAUCACAACCUUCACCGACGAAACUUAUUACGCCGACUACGGUGCUAUCCCGCUAAGUCUUUUAAGGCGAGCCAGGGGACUGGCAACACCCAAUUCCAAGCCAUUAAGAAACCCUAAUGGUUGAGAUU
rnacentral:misc_RNA from 1 species